UCGGUGAGGAUGGGAGAGGUUUGGAAGUGCUUUCGGUAAGCCAGGGGUAGAAAUGGAACAUGGAGCUCACCCUUGCACAGCCGUGUGCUUCUUCCUUUGAGCUGCUACCAUGGCUCCCGUGGCUGCAGGAGCUCAAGCUUCCCCUUCCCAUUUAUGGUGAGGGUGAUGGUAGCGCAUAGAUAACACCAAGCAGAGAGCCUGAGUCUUUGUUAGCGCUCAUGAGUGCUAGUUAAAUUUACCCCUGACCAGGUCUGGGAAGGCACAGAGUGUGCCUCGGCAUGUGUAUGUGGAAGGGGCAUUGACUCUGUGCCAGCAAGGGCCCUGCCACGCGUGUUACCUACAGUUUGCGGGCUGCUGACCUGAAUUGGUCCAGGUUGGCUGCCUGCACAUUCAGAAACGUAAAACUAAGUUCAGUUAUAAGAUCUCUAAAGGAAACAUGUUCAGGGGGUCAGUCCUCCUUACCCAUCCAGAGGUCAGUUUAGGGAUUCAGAGGGACAAAAACUGGAAUACAUCUCAAGAAAUCAUAGGGUUCUAAUGAAAAACCAGUUAGAGCAGACAGAUGGCCGACACAUACUUCCAACUUUGUUUAGGAUAUUUAGAGGAGUUAUUUUUAUAUCAUGUGAAGGCAAUGCCUGACAGCAGGUGUUAGUCACCAUCAUUUAGACAGUGUCUAAUAGAGCCUUAGGUAUGGAAGCAGGAUUGCUGGCAUUUCCUUUUGUCAUUUUCUCUUAAGAUGUCAAACAUACUUUUUUAACAGCAUUUUUAAUGAUUUCAGGGGACAGUUUACCAGCUCUCAUCUCUGAGCUGCUGACAGACUCAAAAUAGAACAUUCUUUCCAUGUCUUUAUAAACCAAGUGUUUCAAGGAAAAGAAUAUCAGGCAAAUUUAAAAGAAAAAAAUGUGGAGCUAAUUUAUCUCUUUCUGUGUGGGGGGAAAAAAAAACUGAUGCAAGAGGGCAGAUGGCUUAAGGAUUACGGACAAGGUAAGAGGUCAGAAAGAAGUACCUUGCAAAAAAGAGAGACAUUCUACCAAUUCUUAGUUGCAAUCUCACUUUCAUCUUUUUAUCUCCAGUAGCACUUUUUCUACAAUAUAUUUUUUCUACAUGUAUUUGAAUCUUUGGUGAUAGCUGAACAGUCAGUGUAAUGAAAGUUUGUGCAUUGUUUUGUGUUCCUAAAAAUAGAUUAAUAUUACUUUUUUAUCCUAAUGUAUGACAUUGAAUGCUAAUGUCACGUAUGUCUGUGUUUCACCAACAAAUUAUUGUGGAUGAGACAUGAGCCAUUUUAGAGCUCAACAAAUCUCCAAAUCUUGAGCUUGGUGAGUAGUAGGUUGGGUUAUAUGCAAAGUCAAGACCUGGAGGGUUAGGCACUGAUGAGGGAGAGUAGGCAAUGAAUGGUAAAGAACAUU
rnacentral:lncRNA from 1 species